rnacentral:rRNA from 1 species
GAUGAACGCUGGCGGCGUGCCUAAUACAUGCAAGUCGAGCGAACAGACGAGGAGCUUGCUCCUCUGACGUUAGCGGCGGACGGGUGAGUAACACGUGGAUAACCUACCUAUAAUACUGGGAUAACUUCGGGAAACCGGAGCUAAUACCGGAUAAUAUAUUGAAUCGCAUGGUUCAAUAGUGAAAGACGGUUUUGCUGUCUCUUAUAGAUGGAUCCGCGCCGCAUUAGCUAGUUGGUAAGGUAACGGCUUACCAAGGCAACGAUGCGUAGCCGACCUGAGAGGGUGAUCGGCCACACUGGAACUGAGACACGGUCCAGACUCCUACGGGAGGCAGCAGUAGGGAAUCUUCCGCAAUGGGCGAAAGCCUGACGGAGCAACGCCGCGUGAGUGAUGAAGGUCUUCGGAUCGUAAAACUCUGUUAUUAGGGAAGAACAAAUGUGUAAGUAACUAUGCACGUCUUGACGGUACCUAAUCAGAAAGCCACGGCUAACUACGUG